rnacentral:lncRNA from 10 species
AACAUAUUCAUCUGGAAAAAGCAUAGCACAGAGGCCCCAGUUGCAGAGAUGCUCCGGAAGCCUGAGGUAUGCACAGGGCUAGUGAGCUAAGAAUAUUCCUCUGUCGCCUUUUCAAGGACAAGGGAAGCCAGGGUGGAGACUGUGCUGAGCUAAGAAACUGAUUUUGCAACAUUGCUAAACUAGCAGACUGGAGAGAUGCUCACAAUUCUCAGAUGAUAUGAGUGUUUCUCUGCAUGGGCAUCAGAGCUGCCACUGCUUGACAUUCCAAGAACUUCCCAGCUACAGGUUCAUCACCUUCUCCUCCCAGGAAAGACAUGUGAGAUUCUGCACAGAGACAGGAAUGUCGUGCCAAAGAGCCUGAAGUCAUGCCAGUGGUGGAGUGCUGAUUGGAACAGACUGGGUUUGGAUGACAUCUCUACUCAUCUGUAAUGGAAGCUGUGUCAAAGUAAACCUUCCUCAGGCACCUGUAGUCUGCCUUGGUUGCUUAGAUUUGUUUGUAAUUGUUUUUAUCCUUUCACAAAUUGUGCAAUACUGCUUAUCAAGCAAUGAUUAGUAAAUGAACCUGUCAUUAUUUUAUCUCACUGAGUAAUAUCAGGAGUUAUAAAAAGAAAAUAUUUCCCAAGCCUUACCCCCACGACUCUAGUAUCUACAAUUCACUGGCCUUAACACCAGCCUACAGUCCUAAAAUGGUAUCUGAUACUUGUUCAUCAGCUUCUUCUUUUAUUUUUUUUUUCAGAUAGGAAAAAUUUUGAAAAACUCUGGUGGCCUUUGGGUGAUGAAGUUAAUGAUAAUUGCCACCUUUUUUCAUGAAGUUUCUUGAACUUUGACAACUUUAGGAACAAUAAUACUGAUAUUGAUAAUAUGUCAUCUUGUUCUCAUGUUCUGUGAUUCUGAAGAAGCAAGAACUGACCACCAUGUACAUCAGCUGGAACCUUUCUGGAAUCCACACAGUGUAAUAAUCCUUAGGAAAAGCUACCUGGGAUUCAGCUGUUACAAUCAGAAGGCCACGAACACUCAACUGGAACCUUUCAUAAUCCCAGUAAAAGGAAAGAUUCAGCUCUUGUCCUGAUUGCAGACUUUGUGCUGGGGGAUGCCAGCUGCCAUAUUGUGAAGACCCUCAAGCAUCCCUGUGGAGAGGUCCCCAUGGCACAGAAAUGGACUCUCAGCCCAAAAGCCAACAAAGAACCAAGGCCUCAAGCCAGCAGCCAUGGGAAUGGGAAUGUGCCAUCUUGGAAGCCAAUCCUGCAGCCCCAGUCAAGCCUUCAGAUGACAGUAGCCCCAGCCAAUAUCUUCACUGGAUCUUACUGAGAGACUAUGUGCCAGCAUGACCCUACUAAACAACUCUCAAAUUUCUGACCCUCAGAAAUUGUGUGAGAUAAUAAUUGUUUUUUGUUUUAAUAUGCUAAGCUUUAGGUUUGUUUGUUACUCCAAAUUAGACAACUAAUUCAGAAUGCAAUAUAUACACUCAGCCAGGUCAACUCCUCUGCUUCUUGAUGCCUGGGGAGAGUGGAGAGAGUGAUGGAUCCCCAUUAUUAUUGCACCCAGGGUACACUGGUCUGGGUUUAGAAUGUCUUGUGCUUUUUCAACCUUCUGUUCCCACAUUUCUCAGUAGUAUGUAUAUUAAACUCUCUUCAGUAACCCACUUUGAGUCUGCCAUUUUUUCCUGUUAGGUUCCCACCUGAAGUGGCUGCCAUGUAACAUCUACACAAACUCCAGCAAGUGGUGGUGGUAUCACCUGUGCUGUGAAUACCUCCCAGUGCAACCAUGCCUAUCACAUUGGAUGAUGCCAUUCAGAGCUGCUAGUGUCAGCAAAGCCAGGCUCCAGUGUCACCAGGGUGGUUUGCCUGCAUCACAGGUUCUUCGCCGACAUCACCAAUGGCUGUGCUGCCCAGGCUUUGCUCUCUCCAGUGCUCCUUUGAUAUUUGCGCGCCCCCCACCUCCUCCUAGGACUCAGAAGUAAGUCAUGUGAGAUGUGCGGGAAAGGAGCCAAGAGAAGGGCAAUUAGAAUCACCCUGAAGCAAAUUUGUCUUUCCAGGAUGUCCUGCCCAGGGCUUUACUGGGGUCUCACAUGAAUAGCUCUUGGCAGUGCCCCAGUGCACUAGAAAUGCUUAUAAAUUCCUGAAUCCCAAUGUGAACAGAGUUUGGGUCAGUCUGGACCCUUGCUU